CAAAAUACAGAAACAAAGACAAGUAACAAAGGAUGCAUACAAAAUUGUGGUCUGGAUACUAAAACUUGCAGAAUGGAUAGGAGCUGGCAAAAAAGAAAAGCUAAGGAGAACCUUUUAAAAAAUUUUUUUUAGCUAGAGAAAAGAGGCUCCAAGGAGUCGGUCAAUAAACAUUUAUUAAGCACCUAUGUUCCAAGCAUUCAGCUAAAACCUAGAGAUAACACUUGUAUUAAAAAGAAUGCUGGGUACUACUACUGGGCUUAUACCCCAAAGAAAUACUAAAGAAGGGAAAGGGCCCUGUAUGUGCCAAAAUGUUUGUGGCAGCCCUGUUUGUAGUGGCUAGAAAAUGGAAAAUGAAUGGAUGCCCAUCAAUUGGAGAAUGGUUGGGUAUAUGAAUGUUAUGGAAUAUUAUUGUUCGGUAAGAAAUGAGCAGCAGGAUGAAUACAGAGAAGCUUGGAGAGACUUACAUGAACUGAUGCUAAGUGAAAUGAGCAGAACUAAGAGAUCAUUAUAUACUUCAACAAUGAUACUGUAUGAGGAUGUAUUCUGAUGGAUGUGGAUUUCUUUGACAAAGAGAAGAUCUAACUCAGUUUCAAUUGAUCAAUGAUGGACAGAAGCUGAGUCUUCGCCAGGCUAAAUAUGUCCUUUUUCUCAUGUCAUCUCAUCAUCUCAACCCUUCAUUAUCAUGUUUAUCCUUCUUCUUGACACACUUCAGUUUAUCAAGGUGCUUUCUAAACUCUGAUGCCUCAAAUUAUAAGUACAGGAUCUUAGAUAUUUUCUGAUUGGGCUAGAGUCUAACAAAAUGUCCUCAAGGAUGUGUUGGUAAAUGUUUAACAAUUGGUUCAUUUAAAUUUUAAAUGCAUUAUUGAAAGUUUCUCUACCAUAUUGUAAAAUCAACAACAGUAACUCAAGCCCUGAUUUGUAUCACUUUGCCAUUUUUUGUUGAAGAAAGAACACUGGGAAAUGAAUGUAAACUGUUUGUAUUUUUGUUUUUCUUCCCGGGUUAUUUAUAUCUUCUGAAUCCAAUUCUCCCUGUGCAACAAGAGAACUGUUUGGUUCUGCACACAUAUAUUGUAUCCAAGAUCUACUGUAACCUAUUUAACAUGUAUAGGACUGCUUGCCAUCU
rnacentral:lncRNA from 1 species